AACCAUAUAAAUCCAAAAUGGAAGGUUUCACUAUAAAUAAUAGGAUGAUGGUGCAUGUAUGCACAGUUCAUUAGCUUCUGGUAGAAAACCACAGGUGAUGAAAGAUGUUAGAACUUAUGCUAGCAAGAUUAGAGAUAAGAUGAGGUGUUAGUGGAAGCUGAAAUUAGUGGAAGCUGAAAUGCACAGGCCUUAGUCACAGGGAACAAGGGAGGAGCCCACGUACCCUGCCCCGGGAACUUUGCUACGGAACAAGGGACAGCAUCGAGGUGCACUGCAGCCUUGCUCGUGGAAGGAGGUGUUCUGGUCGCCGUCUGGAUCGCCGGAGGAACAUGAACAGCUCCAGCACCUACUCCCACAGCGGCGGCCACACCGGAGCCGCCCGAUCAGCACCACAAUCUCGCCGUUCUUCACCAUCAAAAAAGGGCAGGAACUUUCGCAUCUGCAACCCUGUCUCCCACCACCACACGCUGUUGCCCUUGCCACCGAUAAGGGGGUGCGAGUUCAUCGGCACCAUGCUCCUCUCCCGCACCGGGGCGUCGAACGUCUGGGUGAAGAGGAAGAUCACUUGUAAGAGGGAUUGACGGAUAGGUGGCACGGAUCAAUUAGUUGGCUUGCGGAUCAAAGAGUGUCCGAAAGAGUUAUACUCUUUUCGUAACGUGUUUUUCAAGGUGGCGUUCCACGCCCCACGUAGCACGGGGCAUCUAUUUACCAUUAGGAUUGGUAAUUACUCUAUAAUAUUUUUAUCCACAUUUAUAAUCUUUAACUUUUCACUUUGGAUCGCAGGUAUGUGCUUGAAUUUGUUUAAUGAACUCUAAGUUUGAGAUACAAUUUUAGCAUAGAAAUCUAUAUUCCAAUCACUUUAUAUCCUUAUAAAUGGUGGCGCACCUCAUGCGUAUAGAUUUUAAUCAUUAUAUCGUAUACCAAUAGUGCAAGACAUAUACGAUUUAGAAUCAUAUUUUGCUGUAUAUUUUUAAUUAAGGUUAUUUGAUUCAAACGGAGAGUUACUAAUGUUAUUUUUAAUAAUAGCAUGUGUGGGUAAUAUACAUGCAAAUUUAAGGGGUUACUUUAAGUUUUUUAAGUAAUAGGGGUAGGCAAUUCAAUUGCAAAUUAGGGGAUUAUUUUAAAUAUUGUUUAUAAUGGCAUAAGUGGAUAAUUUUGAUGAAGAUUAGGGGUUACUUUAGUUUAUUUUAUAUAAUAGCAGAGGUGGGUAAUUUAUAUAUAGAUUUAGGGGUUACUUUAGGCUAUUUUCAUAAUGGUAUAAGUGAGUAAUUUUUUAGUUUAUAUAAUAGAUGCAAUGGCUAUGAUGAUUUGAAUCUAUCGAUUGAUGGUCGGAUGUUUUAUUUUUUUGAGAAUUUCUAAGAUUUCUCUUUUUUUUCUAGAGUGUCUACCUAAGAAUCCUAGGUGGCUUCACCCGAAGGUUUCAAAGGAGCCUCCAAUUAGUAACAGUGAGAUUGAUUAUUGUCCAG
rnacentral:lncRNA from 1 species